AUCGAACGCUGGCGGAACGCUUUACACAUGCAAGUCGAACGGUAACGCGGAGAGAAGCUUGCUUCUCUCCGGCGACGAGUGGCGAACGGGUGAGUAAUACAUCGGAACGUGUCCGCUCGUGGGGGACAACCAGCCGAAAGGUUGGCUAAUACCGCAUGAGUUCUACGGAAGAAAGAGGGGGACCCGCAAGGGCCUCUCGCGAGCGGAGCGGCCGAUGACUGAUUAGCCGGUUGGUGAGGUAACGGCUCACCAAAGCAACGAUCAGUAGCUGGUCUGAGAGGACGACCAGCCACACUGGGACUGAGACACGGCCCAGACUCCUACGGGAGGCAGCAGUGGGGAAUUUUGGACAAUGGGCGCAAGCCUGAUCCAGCUAUUCCGCGUGUGGGAUGAGGGCCCUCGGGUUGUAAACCACUUUUGUAGAGAACGAAAAGACACCUUCGAAUAAAGGGUGUUGCUGACGGUACUCUAAGAAUAAGCACCGGCUAACUACGUGCCAGCAGCCGCGGUAAUACGUAGGGUGCGAGCGUUAAUCGGAAUUACUGGGCGUAAAGGGUGCGCAGGCGGUUGAGUAAGACAGAUGUGAAAUCCCCGAGCUUAACUCGGGAAUGGCAUAUGUGACUGCUCGACUAGAGUGUGUCAGAGGGAGGCGGAAUUCCACGUGUAGCAGUGAAAUGCGUAGAUAUGUGGAAGAACACCGAUGGCGAAGGCAGCCUCCUGGGACAUAACUGACGCUCANGCACGAAAGCGUGGGGAGCAAACAGG
rnacentral:rRNA from 1 species